GAUGAACGCUGGCGGCGUGCCUAAUACAUGCAAGUCGAGCGAACAGACGAGGAGCUUGCUCCUCUGACGUUAGCGGCGGACGGGUGAGUAACACGUGGAUAACCUACCUAUAAGACUGGGAUAACUUCGGGAAACCGGAGCUAAUACCGGAUAAUAUAUUGAACCGCAUGGUUCAAUAGUGAAAGACGGUUUUGCUGUCACUUAUAGAUGGAUCCGCGCCGCAUUAGCUAGUUGGUAAGGUAACGGCUUACCAAGGCAACGAUGCGUAGCCGACCUGAGAGGGUGAUCGGCCACACUGGAACGGAGACACGGUCCAGACUCCUACGGGAGGCGGCAGUAGGGAAUCUUCCGCAAUGGGCGAAAGCCUGACGGAGCAACGCCGCGUGAGUGAUGAAGGUCUUCGGAUCGUAAAACUCUGUUAUUAGGGAAGAACAAAUGUGUAAGUAACUAUGCACGUCUUGACGGUACCUAAUCAGAAAGCCACGGCUAACUACGUG
rnacentral:rRNA from 1 species